UACAGAGGUCUCAAGCGUUGUUCGGAUUCAUUGGGCGUAAAGGGUGUGUAGGUGGCGCGCUAAGUCGGGUGUGAAAUUUCGGAGCUUAACUCCGAAACUGCAUUCGAUACUGGCGUGCUUGAGGACUGGAGAGGAGACUGGAAUUUACGGUGUAGCAGUGAAAUGCGUAGAUAUCAGGAGGAACACCGGUGGCGAAGGCGGGUCUCUGGGCCGUAACUGACGCUGAGGAGCGAAAGCGUGGGGAGCGAACAGG
rnacentral:rRNA from 1 species